GCAGACACGCUCCGACUCCGGUCUGGUGUACGGGUUGCACUCGGACUCUCUGGCUAUUCUGUGUGCUCCCAUCUGACAGCCCACACUUCUCCGCCGUGUGCCUUGGCCGCAGGACACAGAGCACUAAGAAGAAAGACCGUAGGAUAAACUCUCAUUUUCCCAGUCGGUUGGGAAGGAGGUGAAAAAGCCACGUUAGAAACUGAAAGGUAAGCUAGCAGGUGAAGAUGGUACAAGGACCCAACCUUUGUGCUUGCCACGGGAUUGUUCAUGAAGGCAGUCUGGAAGACGGGGGGAUAGUGGGUGAGAUAUUUGUGCCAGGAUCCUUAUUCUCAGCUAUUGCAAAGUUCCCAAACCAUAGCCAAGUCUUAUCCUUCACCUGCCAUGUGGAUGGAGGAAUACGUGGUUGGGACAAUGAAGGCUGAAGAAAGGAACAGAACCCAAAGUGGUGGACUGUCCUACCAAUGGGAACAGAGAAGAUGCAGCAUUGCCCAAAGAAGAGCUUAGUUUUAGCUCAAGAAACAGUUUGGAAGACAUCUCAAUGAAUUUGAUGGGUUUUAUUUCAGCCAGAGAGCUUUUAGGGUGAACUCACUUUUUAAUAAAUUUUAAUGUCAUUAUUCACUUGUAGGGCAGCAGGUUAUAUAUUCUAUAGCACACCUUAUCACCACAAACAUCUGCAGAUCCCCUAUCUGGCUUCGACAAAAUCUGAUCUAUUGUCCCGAUUAUCUACAGAUCCACUGAACAAAAAACAAACAAACAAACAAAAAACUUAGAUUUAUUACCCCAGGUUAUUUCAUUUCUCUUUGUAUAUUAAAACGUCAGACAUACCACCCAAUGAGUGUCUAUUAAAUAUGGGAUGCUUUUUUUCUCAAAAUCUCCUAAAAAACCUAAA